GAUGAACGCUGGCGGCGUGCUUAACACAUGCAAGUCGAACGAAGCACCUUGAUUCGAUUCUUCGGAUGAAGAUCUUGGUGACUGAGUGGCGGACGGGUGAGUAACGCGUGGGUAACCUGCCUCAUACAGGGGGAUAACAGUUAGAAAUGACUGCUAAUACCGCAUAAGACCACAGCACCGCAUGGUGCAGGGGUAAAAACUCCGGUGGUAUGAGAUGGACCCGCGUCUGAUUAGGUAGUUGGUGGGGUAACGGCCUACCAAGCCGACGAUCAGUAGCCGACCUGAGAGGGUGACCGGCCACAGUGGGACUGAGACACGGCCCAAACUCCUACGGGAGGCAGCAGUGGGGAAUAUUGCACAAUGGGGGAAACCCUGAUGCAGCGACGCCGCGUGAGCGAUGAAGUAUUUCGGUAUGUAAAGCUCUAUCAGCAGGGAAGAAAAUGACGGUACCUGACUAAGAAGCACCGGCUAAAUACGUG
rnacentral:rRNA from 1 species